rnacentral:rRNA from 1 species
UAGGGAAAUCUUCCACAAUGGGCGCAAGCCUGAUGGAGCAACACCGCGUGAGUGAAGAAGGGUUUCGGCUCGUAAAGCUCUGUUGUUAAAGAAGAACACGUAUGAGAGUAACUGUUCAUACGUUGACGGUAUUUAACCAGAAAGUCACGGCUAACUACGUGCCAG